UACAGAGGUCUCAAGCGUUGUUCGGAUUCAUUGGGCGUAAAGGGUGUGUAGGUGGCGCCGUAAGUCGGGUGUGAAAUUUCGGAGCUUAACUCCGAAACUGCAUUCGAUACUGCGGUGCUUGAGGACUGGAGAGGAGACUGGAAUUCAUGGUGUAGCAGUGAAAUGCGUAGAGAUCAUGAGGAAGACCAGUGGCGAAGGCUGGUCUCUGGACAGUUCCUGACACUGAGACACGAAGGCCAGGGGAGCAAACGGG
rnacentral:rRNA from 1 species